rnacentral:rRNA from 1 species
UACGUAGGGUGCAAGCGUUUGUCCGGAAUUAUUGGGCGUAAAGAGCUCGUAGGCGGUCUGUCGCGUCUGCUGUGAAAACUCGGGGCUUAACCCCGGGCCUGCAGUGGGUACGGGCAGACUAGAGUGCGGUAGGGGAGACUGGAAUUCCUGGUGUAGCGGUGAAAUGCGCAGAUAUCAGGAGGAACACCGGUGGCGAAGGCAGGUCUCUGGGCAUUAACUGACGCUGAGGAGCGAAAGCAUGGGGAGCGAACAGG